AAUUGUUUAUGAAAUUUUUUCUAGCACUAGAUUAUAUUAAGUUUGCUAUUUUAAAAGUCAAUUUUAUGCAUACAUUUGGUUUACAAUAACUCCAUGGAUGACUUGAUUAUUUCUUUCUAGUUAAUUGAUGAUGCAAAACUCUUGUGAAAAGGAUUUUGAAAGUAUUAUGAAUUUAUCUCACACAUUCUUAUGGCUAAAAAAAAAUGAGUUUGUAACGCCCCUAACCCGAAUCCGUCGCCAGAAUAGGGUUAUAGAGCAUUACCAAAGUUUACAUAUUAAUUAUUAGACAUUUCAUUUCAUCUAGCAUUCAUAUUUGAAAUCAAUCAAAAUCAUACAUAUUGUCCCUUAAACGAGCCCUCGAGGCCUAAAUUUACGCAUUAGAAACACAUAAGGACUAAGUCGAAAACUCAGAAAAAUUUUCAAAAAUAUUUAAAGUUUCCAACACUGUAGGGGUCACACAGCCGUGUUUCAGCUUGUGUCUGUACCCGUGUGAGUAUACUGACUUGGGCCACACGCCCGUGUGCUAGGCCGUGUGAGCAUUCUAUUUGUGAAAAUUUAAGACACAGAGGACAUACGGCCGUGUCACCUGGCUGUGUGUCACACACGGUUGAGACACAUGCCCGUGUGGAUGAAAAUAAGCCAUUUUACAAGCCAUAUUUCUCACCCAAUUUUGUGUCUAUCUACAAUCAACAUUACACAUAUCAACAAGGCAUAAUUAGACGUUCAAAACAAGCCAAAAUAAGUCGCUAAACUCAACACAUUACAUAUAAGGCAUCAUUAGACAAAAUACCUAUACAUGCCAUUAUAACCAAAAUCAAAAUAUUCGAAAAUACCGAUAAAACCGAUGGAUAGUGUGAUAUAUCUACCACAAGCUUCCAACCUAAUCGAGCUUCCGGUAAUCUGAAAAGUAGAAGAAAACAAAUACAUAAGCAAUGAAUGCUUAGUAAGCUCAUAUAAACUUUAAUCAUAAUACUUCCUUUUCAAAUAUGAAAUUUAUACUUAUCAAGAAUAAUCUAAUAUUGCUACCACAAUACUCAUGAAGUUAUAUUUAACAACUCACUAAGUGAAUAAAGCUACAGUAUCACUUAUACAUAAUAUUCCUAGCAUAGUAGGAUUUUAAACAACUUUAACUCUUCCAAAAUUUCUUUAUUUUCAUUUGCGUUUCUUUACUUUCCACACUCAUUGCAUAUGCAUAACACACAAGUCAUAAGCACAUCAUUCAACCAUAGAUACAGGCUAGUACAUUUAAACAUAGUCCUUUUUUGAAUUAAUCACACGAUAACUCAUUUUAUAAGAAAUUGCAUAACUUAAAAUUUACUACUCUUUCAUGAACACAAGUAUAUUUUCACUUGAGCACUUACCCUUUCAACGCAUCAUAUAAUAAACAUAUUACCAUUUAACCAGUAACUUGGCACUUGUCUAAGCGUCAACAACAGCACUUGUUAGCAUACUUGAACAUAUUUCAUAUUUCAUAACCAGAAGGGUUCCGGACCUUUCUGGGACCAUGUUCUUGAUUACUGGAAACAAUCAACGGCAAACCAAACAAGGCCUUGUUCCUCAAAUACGAAGAAAUGAAAGGAAACCCAGUGGGUCAAAUAAAAAAGAUGGCGGAGUUCAUGGGAUGUCCGUUCUCAGAGGAGGAAGAGAAAGCGGGUGCCAUUGAUGAAAUAGCCGAGUUCUACAGCUUGAGCAACCUCAAGAACCUGGAAGUGAACAAAAGCGGCAGCCUCAAAACCAUGAAACGACAAACCAACUCUUUCUUCAGAAAAGCUGAGGCGGGUGAUUACGUUAAUAUUCUGAGCCCAUCGGCGGUGGAACGUUACAGUAAGAUCGUGGAUGGAAAACUCAGCGGUUCCGGUUUAACCUUCAAAAUGUGUUGUUAAGAUAAAAAAGUUUUACAGUUUCGAUGGAAUUGCUUUUUCAUCCCCCCUAUCCCGUGUAGCUCCGUGCGCUACAGUAAUUCACUUAUUUGGCUCAUCGAUUAAGUGAUUCCCCGCAGAAUAAACGCAUCUUUAUUCACUCAACUCUUGUAAUAGGAAUUUGUAAUAGGAAUUCAGUGGUGAGAACUCUGAAUAGCUAUUCAAACUCCCACUGUACCAAAUAAAAAAAAAUUCCAGAAUUUCUUUUUUACAAAAAUUGAUAUUUCUAUCUCAAAUUAGUGAAUCACAAAUCAAAUUCAAAUUAACAAUUUUUACUUUUUUAUUUUAAAUUAGACCAAAAAACAAAAAAAAAAAAAUUCUUUGAGCUUCAAGGGAAUAUAGGAAGUAGAUGUUGAGCUUACAAAUCCAAAAUGAAUAAAUCAUAUAAAUUAUUUAAAUAAUAAUAAUAUGGAGUUAGAGAUGAACUGAUGAUGCGAUGACCGGUGCAUGUAGCCGUUCUCAAAAUUAGCUUUUUUGGGUUCUUGAAUGAAGAAUAAUAGAAAUUUUAGGAAGAUGGAGAGGGAACGGGAAUAGGAACAAGCUAGAGAGAAUACAAAUGUAGAAAAAAAUGGAGGAUCAGAAUGGCAAGUGAGAAUGUGCUUUUCUAGAACCUUUGAAUGAGUCUACUCCAUUAAUAAAAUUUGAUGAUUGAGAAAAAGAACCAGAGAGAUGAGAAAGCUGAAAGGGAAUUGGUAAGGAAGGAGAGCAUUGAAAAAAGAUAAUGGAGGAUUAAAUGAGGCUGGGUGGGUUGGGGGGAGGGGGGGAGAGCAUUGAAAAAAUGAUAAUGG
rnacentral:lncRNA from 1 species